ACCGCUUCUCGGCCUUUUGGCUAAGAUCAAAUGUAGUAUCUGUUCCUAUCAGUUUAAAAAAUCAUGGGCUAACAAUGAGGACAGUGACACUUA
ensembl:snRNA U2 U2 spliceosomal RNA